GCCCAUUCUCUAGGACCAUGUCCUUGCUGCUCCCAGCUACCUUUCCUGCUUCUCCUAGGCUCAGACUUGACUGUUUUGGACUUGGGGCUGAGCUCCCUGCUGUGCUGCAGCUGAAGCAUCCCCUCGUUGUGUUCUUGCUGGGACUUGGCUCUGGGGAACGAGAGUAUUUUGAUGAAGCUGAGCAAUAUGGCGAAAUUAAAACUUACUCUGGUUUUAAUUUGUACUAAUCACGCACUCAGAAAUAAAGAAUUGGUCCCCCAA
rnacentral:lncRNA from 1 species